UGGGAAAUAAAUGAUUAACCACUAAACCAUUGUAUUCCUUUAUUACAGUGGUCUUAACCUUUCAGACUAAUUUUGACGUUAUCGGAAAAACUUUUUCCGUCAAGAUAUAGACUAGGUUUUUAUAUCCUGCGUGCAUCCAACUCACCCAAGGCAGCCGCACCGGCGAUUGAACCGACGGCAAUUCCUGCGAUUGCCCCAUCGCUCAGCCCCUCUGGCUCCGGCCCCGGCCCAGCGUCGGUGGUGUGUGGUUUCUGGGUGCCUUCGGAUGUCGUAGGCUUUGUUGGAUUUGCUGAUGUCGGAUUCUCUGAUGUCGGGUUCGUUGCUGGAUUCGCUGUUGGCGGUUUCGUUGCUGGAUUCGCUGUUGGCGGUUUCGUUGCUGGAUUCUCUGCUGUCGUUUUCGUUGCUGGAUUCACUGGUGUCGUAAUUAUUGUCGGUUUCGCUGUAUCUGGAGCCGAGGUUGGUGGCUUUGUAGGCGCUGUAGCCGCUGUAGUGCUGCUAACUCCACGUAUGAAUACUGGCACACAUAAAGGGUGGCAAAGGAGUGGUUCACAGGGAAAUAAUGACAUAUAGGCCUAUAUCAGAGUUAACGUAUACUGGCGCUAUACAUUGUAUGUAUUUUCCACUGAAUCCAUCACAUUUUCCGCCACAGAUUAAAUGUAGAGAGGUUGGACAAAAUAGAUUAAGGUUUAAGAAAACUCCAUCAAGCAUACAUUUAUGUAGGCUAUUUUCCUAAAUGUUUGGAAUUCACAGUUUAGUAGUAAGAUUACAUUGACUAUAAGGCAGAGGAUACUGGAUAAUUGUAGACAUAAUAUAUAAAUAGAAUGAAUAGUGUUCUCAGAGGCAGCCAAAUAGUGAAGAUCCACUGAAAGUGUUAGACCAAUAUUAUGAUUGCGAAAAGUUGGGAGGAAACAAUUUCUUUUCACAAUGGAAAAGGAUAAUUGUUAGCUGUUUUUUACCCCCAUUAGAACAAAGAUGUACAUGCAUACUUAGGUCAUAAAAGAGGAAUCCUACCUGUGCCUAAAAGGCAAACAGUCAAUGCCGUCAUAUUUCCCCACAUGAUCUCUUCAGUUGUUAAGUUACACUGAUUUGGAGGGAAACACAUUAUCAAUCGCAUUGUGUAAAGUUGAAAUCUGUAUUGUGUGUACACAAAACACUUCUU
ensembl:lncRNA